AACGAACGCUGGCGGCGGGCCUCAUACAUGCAAGUCGAGCGCGAAAGUCCGCAAGGAUGAGUAAAGCGGCGCACGGGUGAGAAACGCGUGGGUAAUCUACCCUUUGGAUUGGAAUAACCUGUCGAAAGACGGGCUAAUGCCAAGUAAGCUCCCUCGAUCAUAAAGUUCGAGUGAGGAAAGGUGGCGCAAGCUACCGCCGAAGGAUGAGCCUGCGUCCCAUUAGCUAGUUGGUAAGGUAAUGGCUUACCAAGGCAACGAUGGGUAGCUGGUCUGAGAGGAUGAUCAGCCACACUGGAACUGAAACACGGUCCAGACUCCUACGGGAGGCAGCAGUAGGGAAUAUUGCGCAAUGGGCGAAAGCCUGACGCAGCCACGCCGCGUGAGUGAAGAAGGCCU
rnacentral:rRNA from 1 species